rnacentral:rRNA from 1 species
UACGUAGGCAGCAAGCGUUGUUCGGAAUUACUGGGCGUAAAGAGUGUGUAGGCGGUGCUCCAAGUCUGGUGUGAAAUCUCCCGGCUCAACUGGGAGGGUGCGCUAGAAACUGGAAUGCUAGAGGAUGGGAGAGGUAAGCGGAAUUCCUGGUGUAGCGGUGAAAUGCGUAGAUAUCAGGAGGAACACCUGUGGUGUAGACAGCUUACUGGACCAUUUCUGACGCUGAGACACGGAAGCGUGGGUAGCAAACAGG